ACACUGUGGUAUUUACCCCAGUAGAUAUGGGAGUUUAUCAAAAUUGGAUUUGUUUUUGAAUUCUUUGUGGGUCUGAGUAUGUCUCUCUCUAUCUAGCUCUUACUAGCUCGGCAUUAUUAUGUCUCCCUCUGUCCCUCUCUCGGUCACAUCCUGAUCGCACACAUCCGCUGCAUCAGUGUUACGUUCUACUGAGGCUGACUUCUUUCUUAGAACUUGAAGGAAGUCUACCGUGUGUGGCGCUAGAUGUGGGUCACCUAGAGCUGUUUUCCUGGACAAUGUCCCAGUGUGUCAAAUGUGCACCUAAGGCCAAUCUCAGCAGCCACAUGAACAUGCAUAGUGUUGACGUCAGACAGAAGGACCAAGGACACGGAUGAACACUGGUGCUGUGAGAUCAGGAUACCAGGGCUGGCUUAGAGAAGCAGUUGUAGCAGUGGUACUUCUGUCCUUGAGCUGUUCUUGUCUAUUAAUGUUCUGUAUUAUGUCAUGUUUCAUGUGGACCCCAGGAAGAGUAGCUGCUGCUUUAGCAGGGGAUCCUAAUAAAAAAGAUACAAAAUACUCAUUAUAUCACACAAUCACCAGUAUGUCUGACCUGGGGUGAGACUUGUAUCGAAGGACAUGAUCUAACAGUCUGUUAUUAUAAGGUGGAGGGUAAAGAAAACCAAAACAGGGCCAAAUGUAGCACCUCAGACACUAUAAAUACCACACAGGCCUCAGAUUGUGAAUUUGACUUACAGGUCAAUGUAACCUACUGUCUCAAAUCACAUUUUAUUGGUCACAUACACAUUGUCACAGGUGUCAA